UUAACGUUUCUUUGAACGUUGUCACCAACCUAAUAUUGAACGAGUCAAUUUGUGAUUUUAUCUGUCUGUGUCUCUCUCAUUUCAGAACGGCGGCAUGAUCAAAAACACGUUAUAUCUUUCCCUUCCGUUGAUUGGUUGACAUGAGAUGAUAUUGGAUUUGUGCUCAUUUAUUAAUUAACAGGUGACACCAGCGCGCCUACCUUUAUAAAUCAAUCCCCUACUGUCUCGUUAAAAGGAAUCAGUUCUGGCUAUUGAUUCCAAGGAAGACUAGGUCACAGUUGAGCAGCAGGUGACCAAUGUUUAUAACUGCUUCAUUUAUGGAAUGCUUUGGGGAAAAAAACCUUCCUCAUCCUUUGAGUUUGUCAAGCAAUUUGGUUUAUGCAAGUUAAUUUUUUAUCUACCUUUACCCCUUAUUUCUCUGCCAUUUUAAAACCUACUAUGUAAAGGCAGUAUAUGUAACCUGGAAUUGGCAUGUGUUUUAAACGGAGUCGAUGUGAAUAUGACGACGAAGAGCCGACUAGACCAUUUGAGAUGCUACCCCGUGUGGUUCAUACUAGGCCUACACCCUUUGAGUAAAAGGGUCCUUUUUUUUUCUUCAGACCGAUUCCUCAAAAGGGGUCGUGGGCUGGUUGGUAAUCAUCUUGUCCUGCUGCUGUGGAAAGUCCCGGUCUUUAUCAGCAACAACAUAGUGACGGCUCAGAUCUUCUGGGAGAGGCUGUGGAUGAUACUGUGACGUGCAGAGUACUGGACAGAUGCAAGGAACAAGCACAUUUUCUGAAGACUAUUUCUGACUGGUGUUUCAUUGACUUUUAAAGAUGGUGUAUGACUCCAUGUUGACUCUCCCCAGAGACCUGCAGAACCAUCAUCUCCAUCUUGGUCUCCAUGGUCGCCAGCAUCGCCAGGAUGGGGAAUGUGCAACAGCUGCUCGGCGCGAGGGUUCCGGAACCAAGGCCCAGGUUGCCACGGCAGCUGGGGUUCUGUUCCUGAUUUGCCAGGGUGCUGAGUCUGGUGUCUCUCAGCUGGACAGCUCCGUGUCAUCACUGACUUCUAUAAUCCUCUGGAACACCAAGGCUUAAAGAGCAGGGUGCGGCCAUCUUUAUCUGGUGGGGGAGCUCUCAUGGCCAGGUACG